rnacentral:tRNA from 1 species
GCCCCUGUAGCUCAGGCGGACAGAGCAGCGGUUUCCUAAACCGCAGGCCCCGGUUCGAGUCCGGGCAGGGGUACCA